UUCUCACAACUCAAAGCAUUACUCUUUCUUUGAUCAUCUUUCCAGUUUCAAGCAACCUAAAAACUGAAAAUGGGUGUGUUCACUUAUGAAACCGAGUUUACAUCUGUCAUCCCACCACCAAGAUUGUUCAAGGCUUUCAUCCUUGAUGCCGAUAACCUCAUCCCAAAGAUUGCUCCACAAGCAGUUAAGUGUGCUGAAAUCAUUGAAGGAGAUGGAGGCGUAGGCACCAUCAAGAAGAUCACCUUCGGUGAAGGCAGCCAGUUCGGCUCAGUGACCCACAAGAUCGAUGGGAUUGACAAAGAGAACUUUGUGUACAGCUACAGUUUGGUCGAAGGAGAUGCCUUGUCCGACAAGAUUGAGAAGAUCUCUUACGUGACCAAAUUGGUGGCGUCUUCCGAUGGAGGAUCCAUCAUCAAGAGCACCAGUAACUACCACACCAAAGGUGACGUGGAGAUCAAGGAAGAGCAUGUUAAGGCCGGAAAAGAGAAGGCGUCCCACCUCUUCAAGCUUGUUGAAGGCUACCUCUUGGCCAAUCCUAAUGAAUACUGUUAAACUUGAUUGUUAUCUGUCACUUUUCCCUUUGUUUUGCUGAUGUUCCAGUUGGAACAUUAGGAAAUUGAAUGCUGUAAUGUUUUCUAUUGAAUAAACAAUCUGUAAUCACAAUUUGCAUUACAUUGUUCAAUUUCUCCCUACUAAUUAAGCUAAACUAUCAAAUUGCUGCUAUAAAAAUAUAUCCACACAGAUGGUCAAGAAACAUCCUAAGAAGGUGGUUCACCUAUCAUUAUUCAAAACAAGAAAUGUCACAAUAUAUAGCCUCUUUGUUUCAGAAAUGAGUCGUUGAGACUUCGGAGUAUUUAGGCCGGUUAGUGAUAGAGGUUGCACUGGUAAAACUCUAAACAGUGACGGCAAACUUGUUCUCCAAACAAUUUGCUGAAAAGUUGAACUCAUUAUCAGUAUAAGUCUUUGAUAAUGACUGAUUGUUGUAGUGAUUGAGUCUUUCUUUCCUUACCUUUCUAUAAAGAAUCGGCCUUUCCCAAUCAAAAUAAUUAUGAUAUUAUGAAAAAAAAAACUGUUUCAUGUCCACAUCUACGACAGAUUAACCAACUGUAAUAGAACAAUACUGUUAUGUUAUGUUAAAAAUAAUUCACAAUUACUGAAGACUUUGGACAGUCACUAACCAGAUAACUCUCUACCAGAUCAUAUACUCCACUUCAUUCAGGGUCCAAUUGACUCCCCGUCGUGCUGGUAUUUGUGUCCCUUUCAUCAUGAUUUUCUUGGAAAGACUGGAACUACUCAAAUAAAGUUCUCACGUUGGUUAAAAAUGCAAUGAAUGGAACAUUUCUAACCAAUCAGUCUGCACGCAGAAAUAGCUAUUGGAUUUCUUACAGCGACAGACUUACAUGCCAAGCAUCGAAAAAUAGAAGGUAAAAAACUCUGCACGCUGUAUUAGUAUAAAGAGGAACAUACGUUUUAUUCUUUACUUUUUAAACGAAAUCCAAUGUGACAUUACAAUUUACCAUAACUCGAAGUGCAAGCCAAAACAAUCCCAGGCUUGGUAGGAAAGGAAAGGGAAAAAAUAUCAAAGCGACACCAAAUGACAAAACAAACAGGACACAACAGAAUAUUAUAAUGCAGUAGCAUUAUCAUAGUUCGAUUUAGUUGUAGGCCUCGGGGUUGGCCAAAAGAUGGUUCUCAAUGAUCUUGAACAAACCAGCGGCCCUUUCUUUUCCGGCCUUGACAUGCUCUUCCUUGAUCUCAACCUCACCCUUGCAAUGGUAGUGGCUUGUGCUCUUGAUGAUGGAGCCUCCACUUGGAGAUGCCACCAACUUGAUCUCGUACGAGAUUUUCUCAACCUUGUCUCCAAUAGCAUCACCUUCAAUGAUGCUGUAGUUGUAAACAAAGUUGUCUUUGUCAAGUCCAUCAAUCUGGUGUUUCACGUAGCUGUACUCGCUUCCUUCACCGAGGUGAAUCUUCUUGAUGGUUCCUACACCUCCAUCACCUUGAACGAUUUCGGCACUCUUCACAGCCUGUGGCGCAAUCUUGGGGAUGAGGUUAUCAGCAUCAAGAACAAAGGCCUUGUAGAGUCUUGGUGGUGGGAUGACAGAGGUGAACUCGGUUUCAUAAGUGAACACACCCAUGAUGAGGAAUAAAAAGCUUAAAAUGAGGAGAUUGAAAUGUGGAAGAAGCUAAGAGAAUAUUGAUAGUGGUGUGGGAAAGUGUGAGGUCUGGAGGUAGUAUUUAUAGGAAAACAGAAGCUCACCUCCCUGGAGAUCAAAGUUUGAGCUCAGACAUGAGAAUUUUCAAACAAUUAAUAUUUCCAUGUGAACUAUUUUUCAAGUCUAAUAUGCCGCCUCAAAUAUUUCCAUGAAGCUCACCCCUUGCUGAUUUUAAGAUUUGAAAAACCCAAAUUGUCAUCCUAAGUUGGACAACUAAGCAAUGAUGUUAACUAUACGACUUGUAUAAUUGAUUGUGAAGUCCUAGCUAGCGAAGUAUUGCAACUUCAGUGAAGUAUUGAAACAAACAAAAAAACAAAACUGAAAUGGAAUAGCCCGACAUUGUUUGUAUAAAGUUAAACUGAAAGUUUUGAAGAACAUCUAGAACUUGACCUAUUCUCUAGUUUGUCUACUACACCGUCCAAAGCCAAUUAGGUACCAAUUAUAAUUGGGGCUGGGGUGCUUUCUUUGACCAUUCUGGAUUUCUGGAUAUAUCCAAGAGAAUAGCAGGUACAGCUUCUUCAUUCACAAUAGCUAGGUCUCCAUAAGGUGACCUUUAACCUCAUCUGUCACACCAACUCCUCCCUUAAGUAACCUAUAAAUACCACCCCUAGCAUUCUCUUCUCUUACAACUCAAAAACCUCCUCCAGUUCCUAAACACCAGUUUCCAUAAUACUCUUCUUCUUUUUUAUCAUUUCCCAGUUUGUAAGCUGAUAAUGGGUGUGUUCACUUAUGAAACGGAGUUCACCUCAGUCAUCCCCCCACCGAGAUUGUUCAAGGCUUUUAUCCUUGAUGCUGACAAUCUCAUCCCAAAGAUUGCUCCGCAAGCAGUGAAGUGUGCUGAAAUCGUUGAAGGAGAUGGAGGUGUAGGCACCAUCAAGAAGAUCACCUUCGGUGAAGGCAGCCAGUUCGGCUCAGUGACCCACAAGAUCGAUGGGAUUGACAAAGAGAACUUUGUGUACAGCUACAGUUUGGUCGAAGGAGAUGCCUUGUCCGACAAGAUUGAGAAGAUCUCUUACGAGACCAAGUUGGUGGCAUCUUCCGAUGGAGGCUCCGUCAUCAAGAGCACUAGCAACUACCAUACCAAAGGUGACGUGGAGAUCAAGGAAGAGCAUGUUAAGGCCGGAAAAGAGAAGGCAUCCCACCUCUUCAAGCUUGUUGAAGACUACCUCUUGGCCAAUCCUAAUGAAUACUGUUAAACUUCUUGCCAGUUUGUCGUCCAUUUCGAAUCAGCUGAUUUUCCAGUUGGAUUGUUGAACCCUUGGAUGUUGUAAUACUUUGAAUUAAAUAAAAAGCUAAAAUAGCACUUUGCAAAUUCGUUGUUCUAUAAAAUCUUAGCCAAGUUUAGGUUUAUCGAAAAAAAAAUUAAACUAUCAAGUUACAGCUAUAGAAAAAAUAUUAAUCCUUGAACGAUGGUCAAGAAUAACACGACUUGAAACCAAAAACUAUAAACUUCGCACAGAAAUGAGUCAUCAUGAUUCAUGAACACUCUCCAAGGCCAUUGUUCAAAGAUGAAAGUGUUAGUGAACCUUAGAAAAUCACCAUGAGUAACUGUUACUGAUUUGGAGCGGUUCUGUAAACAACCAGCUUGUUGUUAUAGGAUAAUUAGAAUAUUAUUGUUCCUGUAAAGUAGAUAUUUACUCAGUCAGAUGUUUAUCUAGUCAGUUGUUGACUUAGUCAGUAUUGUUAUGGUUUGUGGUGGCAUGUACCACAAAAUAAGGAGAGAUUCAUGUAAUCUUGUUAUCUGUAAUCUCCUAUAAAAGGAGCUCACUCAUUCUGAUGAAAUAUACAGUUUUUCCUAAAACACGUUAUCAGCACGAAGCUCUAACGUGAGUAUUUUUUUUUCCGACAAAAAAAAAAAAAACCUUGGUGCUCCGGAGCCACCCUUUACAGCACCCCAGCGUACCCUNNNNNNNNNNNNNNNNNNNNNNNNNNNNNNNNNNNNNNNNNNNNNNNNNNNNNNNNNNNNNNNNNNNNNNNNNNNNNNNNNNNNNNNNNNNNNNNNNNNNCAUUCCUAAAGAAAAACCUGCAAGCACUCCUAAAAUUCUCAAUCCACCCUUAACUUCUGGAGCCUACGUGCUCCCCAAACACAACCACCACCAAUAACAAUAAUAAAAUCAUCUUCCAAAUCAACACAUAAUUAUCCAAAUAAGAUAACAUACAUCCUCCGUUAAAUAUUCUAAACAGAAAUCAACAGACCGCACACUACCGAAAAUAAUUUACAUUAAUCCCGAGUAUUCAGAGCUACUAGACACUAGCGGAAGUAAGAAAACACGGGUAGGUUAAACAGGUAACCUACUGGUGAAAAAUGGUGGAAAUGCAGGUGACUAUGCCUCGCCUCCUACUAGAUCUAACCCGAACUCUGCAGACUAGGCAUUUUAAAACGAACGGCCCAGGUGAAAACAUUUAAUAACGUUAGAGUGAGUGGACAAAAAUAAAUUAAUAAAAAAAUAUUUAUGCAUUCCCAUUUUAAUUUCCAAAGAAAUUAUGCUGCAUGCGACCGCUCAAAAGCGCUCAACUCAUAAACUGGCAAUUUCACGACUAGCUCCGGCUAGUCACCAACUCAAAUAAACUGGAGCCUCUCAGGCUAAACUAUAUAUAAACAUAUAUGUGUAUGUAUUUACACUCGUCAGACUCCUUGUAUGAAUUCUAUGAACAAAUUAGAAAAAUAGAAAUUCAUACAAGGCUACGACGCUUGCGUCUAACGCUCACGUCGCGCCAUAAGGGAAUUUUUCCUCAUUAUGACCAAAGAGGACGGGUGUAUAUAUACGUGUGGACUCCCUAUAUGAAAACCUAAAUAAACCAGAAAAUAAAGUAGUUUUCAUAUAGGGCUAUGACGCUUGUGUCUAACACUCACGUCACGCCAUAAUGGAAUUUUACCUCAUUAUGACGGACCAAGCACGUAUGGCUAGCUAGCAUUUAUAUACAUACUAUAUUCAUAACAUCCAAUAAACAUGUCCACCGAAAAUCUCAUUUUCGGGAUCUCUCCCAAGGAGAAAAAAUUGCCAAAUAGCCAAGAAAUCAGUAAGUCUUAUCAGAAGAAAUAAAUGAUCAACAAAAUAACUCAUCGCAUGCUUUUCAAUUAAAACAAAAGUCCACUCACAAAUUAGGCCUAAGUCUGAUGUCGCUCAAAGGCUUUUUCUACUCGGCCUCCUCUCGUCCUGAUCCAAAUAUGUAAUUAAUUUCCCAACUAAAAAUUCAAUAUUUAUAGAAAAUAGGCAAAAAUAACCGAGAGCCAUAAACACGCUCAUCAUUGCCUAACUUCGAUAUUCUUAAAUCGAAAUGACCCAAACUUUAAUACCAUACUCGGCAGCCGUAAAUACAACUUCCCCCAGAAAAUGACUUAAAUCCUACGGCCAGAUUCUACAUUAUUCAACCGCCAAAAAUACCAAACUUCGGAAAUUCACAAACCUAUCCAAAACUCAUCCGAAAAUUCCAUAAUUCACAACAAUAAACUCCCCUUAAUAUUCCACACUUAAAACUAUACAAAACUCCCAAACAGCGGCGGCGGCGCCACCAGGCCGAUUCCGGCGACCUCCAAUGCCCACCAAAUUUUAACAUUAGCUUCCUCUCCACUCCUUCUAUAACUCUCCUAACUAGCACAAACACAAAAUCCAAGCCUAGCUAGGUGAAUUGAAUGCAAACACCUAAAGAGUCCUAGGAUUUCAACUUCGAAUUUCUCCUUACCUAGCUCAAGAGGGAGUGAGCCUUUUAGAGGGGUUGCUGCAUGGAAGGAGGGCUACAAAACGAGCCAAGGAUCACCGGCUUUGGCGGCCGGAGGAGAGAGUUCCGGCGAGAAGACAACCGGCUUCCAAGGAGGACUUCCUCCGUUCGGCGGGGUUGUAGUGCCACUCACCAGCCCAGGAAAGCGGCGGGGAGGACGACGGACCGUGCUGGAGUGGUGCGGCGUCCUUGCUUGGCCGGACGACAGUGACUGGGCUCGAAAAACUUCCGGCAGUCCAAGAGAGAAAGAGAAAGGGUCGGGGAGAAGAAGAGAAGGAAGAGAGAAGAAGAAGAAAAAAUGAGAAAUGGUUUGGGCCUCCCCAAACCGGGCCAACUCUAAAAAUACCCACACCAAACAUACACCCAACUCCAAAAAUAAUACCCACUAAAAAUUACCUUUUACCAGCCCAAAAUUUACCCUCUUUACCGUCAUCAAAAUUUUUCCUACCAAUAACUCUCCGAAAUAAUCGUUUCCCAAAACCCCUCUAGGGACCAAUUAAACUAUAACUUCAUUGACGGAGACGGUAAAAUUCUUAUUAUAAUCAAGCUAGUAAAUAAGAUAAAAAUUUAAGGGGCGGGAUGUGACAGUUUUGUCCAUGCUUUUUUGUUUAAUUAUAACUCUUACCUGUGGGGCUAAAAUGAAGAUUUUGUCCCUGUUUUUUGUUUAAUUACAACUCUGCCAUUAUGGAACCAAAAUGAUUGUUUUGUCCCUGCUUUUUUGUUUAAUUACAACUCUUACUUGUGGGGCUAAAAUGACGAUUUCAUCCUUGAUUUUUGUUUAAUUACAACUUUGUCAUUAGGAAACUUCAUGAAAUGACUUAUUUACCUUUCGGAUUUUGCCAUCUUUUUACACGUUGAAACCCCGCGGUUCGACACGGGUACAAAUCGUAGUAUCUCCUAUUCUCCGUUUCUCACAAAAAAAAAAUUAAUCCAUGUUUAGAUCUCCUAAUUUCCUUUUUCUUUUUAAUUUUUUUAAUCAUUUUUAAAACAACAUAUAAGCAUAUUCUCCAAGCGCAUUUCAUGUCAGUGAUGCAUUAAGAGUUUCCUUUGUUUCGGACAGAUUCUUGUAUUUGCUAUCUUUUGGGAAUGUAUGGUGUCUCUCGUUGACCCCAGUUCCUUUCCCAACCCAUGUGAUUAGUGGAAGGACAUCGUAGUAGUGCAUGUGCCCCUCGCAUUGUCUAUGCCUUGUGGUGCGAAUCUUGCAACGAUUCCUAGGUCAUUGUUUGAUCUCUCUGAUAUGGAACAUUCGGUGCAAGUAACCCAACAGUUAUUGAGUAAUCUCAGACAUUAAUAUAUGUAAUCAAUAUUAUUUUAAUACUAAUAAAAGUGUAAUUUGAUAUUAUCUAACCAUCUAUUUUGGUUGCUGCAAGUGCCCCUUGAUGUACUGAAUACUCUCAAAAUAUAUAUAUAAGAUAUGAAAAAGAUGAUAUUAGAUACAAAAAACAUGCCCGAUUAGAAGUCAUACUUUGCCAUCAUGAGGUACUAUGGAUGGUGAUAAACAUGUUAACUCCGCUUUUUAGCUAAAUUGCUAUCUUAGGUUACACUUUAGUAUCAAUUUGCUACCUUAGGUUCAUUUCAGUCAAUUUGCUACCCUAGGUUUUCGUAAUUAGCCAAUUCGUUGUCCUAAGUAUUAUGUUUGCCAAUUUGCUACCUUAUGUAUUCAAAACUAGCCAAUUUGCUAUCUUUUUGUCAUUUCAAAUUGUCCAUUUAUUCAUCCAAACAUUAAUAAUUUUGAAUAUCUAAGGUGAACUAUAGUCAAUCUUCAAAUUUUG
rnacentral:lncRNA from 1 species